rnacentral:tRNA from 2 species
ACAUCCGUAGCUCAGUAGGAUAGAGCAUCAGUUUGCGGAACUGAAGGUCGCAGGUUCGAGCCCUGUCGGGUGUGCCA